GACGAACGCUGGCGGCGUGCCUAAUACAUGCAAGUCGAGCGGACCGACGGGAGCUUGCUCCCUUGGGUCAGCGGCGGACGGGUGAGUUACACGUGGGUAACCUGCCUGUAAGACUGGGAUAACUCCGGGAAACCGGGGCUAAUACCGGAUGCUUGAUUGAACCGCAUGGUUCAAUCAUAAAAGGUGGCUUUUAGCUACCACUUACAGAUGGACCCGCGGCGCAUUAGCUAGUUGGUGAGGUAACGGCUCACCAAGGCGACGAUGCGUAGCCGACCUGAGAGGGUGAUCGGCCACACUGGGACUGAGACACGGCCCAGACUCCUACGGGAGGCAGCAGUAGGGAAUCUUCCGCAAUGGACGAAAGUCUGACGGAGCAACGCCGCGUGAGUGAUGAAGGUUUUCGGAUCGUAAAACUCUGUUGUUAGGGAAGAACAAGUACCGUUCGAAUAGGGCGGUACCUUGACGGUACCUAACCAGAAAGCCACGGCUAACUACGUGCCAGCAGCCGCGGUAAUACGUAGGUGGCAAGCGUUGUCCGGAAUUAUUGGGCGUAAAGCGCGCGCAGGCGGUUUCUUAAGUCUGAUGUGAAAGCCCCCGGCUCAACCGGGGAGGGUCAUUGGAAACUGGGGAACUUGAGUGCAGAAGAGGAGAGUGGAAUUCCACGUGUAGCGGUGAAAUGCGUAGAGAUGUGGAGGAACACCAGUGGCGAAGGCGACUCUCUGGUCUGUAACUGACGCUGAGGCGCGAAAGCGUGGGGAGCGAACAGGAUUAGAUACCCUGGUAGUCCACGCCGUAAACGAUGAGUGCUAAGUGUUAGAGGGUUUCCGCCCUUUAGUGCUGCAGCAAACGCAUUAAGCACUCCGCCUGGGGAGUACGGUCGCAAGACUGAAACUCAAAGGAAUUGACGGGGGCCCGCACAAGCGGUGGAGCAUGUGGUUUAAUUCGAAGCAACGCGAAGAACCUUACCAGGUCUUGACAUCCUCUGACAACCCUAGAGAUAGGGCUUCCCCUUCGGGGGCAGAGUGACAGGUGGUGCAUGGUUGUCGUCAGCUCGUGUCGUGAGAUGUUGGGUUAAGUCCCGCAACGAGCGCAACCCUUGAUCUUAGUUGCAGCAUUCAGUUGGGCACUCUAAGGUGACUGCCGGUGACAAACCGGAGGAAGGUGGGGAUGACGUCAAAUCAUCAUGCCCCUUAUGACCUGGGCUACACACGUGCUACAAUGGGCAGAACAAAGGGCAGCGAAGCCGCGAGGCUAAGCCAAUCCCACAAAUCUGUUCUCAGUUCGGAUCGCAGUCUGUAACUCGACUGCGUGAAGCUGGAAUCGCUAGUAAUCGCGGAUCAGCAUGCCGCGGUGAAUACAUUCCCGGGCCUUGUACACACCGCCCGUCACACCACGAGAGUUUGUAACACCCGAAGUCGGUGAGGUAACCUUUUGGAGCCAGCCGCCGAAGGUGGGACAGAUGAUUGGGGUG
rnacentral:rRNA from 1 species